AUUGAGUCUUACCUGAGUUUCUUCCACUGUGUUCACCCGUGUGUUUUUACUUGUGACUCUUGUGCUUUUUCUGUGUGGAUUUUGUUGGACUUUAGACUUUAAUGAUAACAAAGAUUUUUUCUGGUGAGAGCAGGACCAUUUCAUGGAGAUCUAGAAAACAACAGGCUGGUCAGUGAAUGGCUGGACCACAACAUGCCGUGCUGCUGCUGCCCACACCAGUGAGGACACUCUCAGCUGUUCCACACACCAACAACAUAGAAGAUUCACCUUUGACAAACGGGACUGCAGUGACGACACAAAGAAAAAUGUUUCUCUGAAAACAGAUUUAAUUUACAAAGAUUCAGUGACAGUGUUACAGCUCACAUGACUCAAAAUCACUACUGAAGGUUCGCAGAACCCUGAUGAAAAAUAUCAACAACAGCGCUGAAAAUAACACUUAGACAACUGUAAAUAGGAAGAAACAAAUGUUACAUUUACUUACACAUAUUGUGUGAUAUGACAUCUCAGACUGUGCAUCACAGCACAACCAUCUCUGUAAAAACUGUGUGUCUGUGUCUGUGUGUGUGUGUUGGACCCUUUGAAUGUGUGGUAUGUAUUGACCUGAAUACUGAGACAACACCAUAUGGAUCGACUGGCCAAGACACUCAAAAGACCUAAGGCCUAAUCCCUGCUGGCUGAGUUGAUUGGUCUGGGAUCCCUUUGAAAACUGAAUGAAAUCAACAGUUUCUUAAUAACAAUGAAAAGUCUGUGUGUUAGAUUGUCUUUGCAUAUCAGUGGUCCUCUUUAAACUCAAAGUGUUUGGACUCAGAGCUGGCAGUUUUGUUUGUAAUCCUGAGGGAAUUAUUAUAUUUACGUGAACUUUUGAAGAAAGCUGUAGUUUUGUGUCAAACUAUCCUGAUGCUGCUUGAAAUGAAAACACUGAAGUUGUACGUUAUGAAACGAGAGAAAAGACACUAAGUGAGACGCUGACUCAUCAGUUUGUGGUUUAUAUUAAGUGAAGCAUCUUCAUCAUGUCAUGGCAAAAACUGCAAUAGUACUGUGACAUUUUCAUCUGUGAAGAAUAAUGAAACCAUGCAAUGGGAGAUUAUAGUAAAUGUUUGUUAUUGCUGCUGUUACGUUCAUGACAAAUAUGUACAAUGAUCUGUACAUGAAACUUGAUCCUGUCUGUUUGAAAUUACCUCCACUAGCCUGCCUCUUCACUGCCACAGCUCUGUAAUGUAUUCACCUGGUGUCUAUAUACAGUAUGUAACGCCAUCAUCAUAAUCCACAGAGCUGUGGGAUUAAACCAGACAUUUUUGCAUCUUUUUCAAAA